UAGUUACGGGUAAGAUUAUUACUUCAGUAGUAUUAUUUAUUACAUCUUUUCAUUUACUCAAAUUCUGAUUGAUUUUUCCACUCGACCUAAUUUCACACUAGCAAAGUGAAAUGGACAAAAAGAGCAGCUCAGAUAAUUCUGACAGACUUGAGUUGUCCCCAAAACCACGUUAGUAGGGGUAGCAGCAGUUUACAGUGAUCCCACAAGACGCUGUGACUAAAAUGAAGUGGAUUACUGUGUUGGUAGUUAGUUUGGUACUGGUUGCGGCAACUGCACUGCGAACACAAAUAUGUCGGUAUUGUGUUAGUGAGUGUAGACCAAAUGAGAUGAUAAGAUCAAUGUGUUUCGUGAGAGGAUUUGUUUGUUGUCGUGCUUAAAUGAAUCAAAAUAAAGAUCUUGUUCUCUGCC